UACGGGGGGGGGCAAGCGUUGUUCGGAAUUACUGGGCGUAAAGGGCGCGUAGGCGGCCUGCUAAGUCGGAUGUGAAAUCCCUCGGCUCAACUGAGGAAUGGCACGGGAAACUGACGGGCUUGAGUUCGGGAGAGGGAAGCGGAAUUCCGGGUGUAGCGGUGAAAUGCGUAGAUAUCCGGAGGAACACCGGUGGCGAAGGCGGCUUCCUGGACCGACACUGACGCUGAGGCACGAAGGUCAGGGGAGCAAACGGG
rnacentral:rRNA from 1 species